GUGCUCACUUCAGCAGCCAAUGCACUAAAAUUGGAACUAUACAGACAAGAUUAGCAUGGCCCCUAUAUAAGGAUAAGAAGAAAAAUUAACUUGACCUGUAAAUGUUC
rnacentral:snRNA from 1 species